UUAUUGAGAUCAUUAUUUAAAGUAAAGGAUACAUUCCUGAAAAUUGGGUAAGAAAUUAUGAAUUAAAAAGAAGAUACUGUAUAGCCAAAUAAUAAAACUAAAAGCCAAAUGAUGCAAAAAAAAUAAAAAAAUCCAAAUGUAUAAAUGAUGACCCAAAAGCAAACUCUUCUUUUAAUAAAAAAAAAGCCAAACUCAUAUGUAAAUGUACAAAGGCUCUUCUUCAUUCUUCCUUCUUCCUGUACUUCAUCUUCUUCGUUCAUCAUCUUCCCCAUUCCUAUAGAUCAAUAAUCCAAGUGUAAAUUCCGGAGCAUAAGAGGCUAAUCCAAGUAAAUUGUACUAAUUUCUGUGAAGACUCGGCAAUGAUUUUGCGUACGCAAGCAGAACAAUGGAAAAUCCUACAAUUACAUUUCAAGAUCAAACUUAAGAGACGCAGUUAGGGGUGUUCAAUUGUUCAUAGGUCCAAACUCGGACCGACUCGGAUCGGAUCGAAGACCGAAAUUUUGAUAAUUCAAGAUUUGAAGAGCGGAUCGAUUAUGCUUGGAUCGGAUCCGAAACGGACCGGAAAAAUCGGUCCAAAACCCGGACCGGACCGGUUUGGACCGGUUGUAGACCUAAUUCUAUAUAUUUUUUAUUUUUUCUAAAAAUUAUGGUAAAAAGAAAAAUAUAUAUAUAAAAAUAAUUGUUU